rnacentral:rRNA from 1 species
UACGGAGGAGGCAAGCGUUAUCCGGAAUUAUUGGGCGUAAAGCGUCCGUAGACGGUCGCUUCAAGUCUGCUGUCAAAGACCGGGGCUUAACCCCAGAAAAGCAGUGGAAACUGAACAGCUAGAGAGAGGUAGGGGUAGAGGGAAUUCCCGGUGUAGCGGUGAAAUGCGUAGAGAUCGGGAAGAACAUCGGUGGCGAAAGCGCUCUACUGGACCGCAACUGACACUCAGGGACGAAAGCUAGGGGAGCGAAUGGG